UAUUGGUCAAUGGACGCAAGUCUGAACCAGCCAUGCCGCGUGAAGGAUUAAGGUCCUCUGGAUUGUAAACUUCUUUUAUCUGGGACGAAAAAAGGCGAUUCUUCGUCACUUGACGGUACCAGAUGAAUAAGCACCGGCUAACUCCGUGCCAGCAGCCGCGGUAAUACGGAGGGUGCAAGCGUUAUCCGGAUUCACUGGGUUUAAAGGGUGCGUAGGCGGGCAGGUAAGUCAGUGGUGAAAUCCUGGAGCUCAACUCCAGAACUGCCAUUGAUACUAUCUGUCUUGAAUAUUGUGGAGGUAAGCGGAAUAUGUCAUGUAGCGGUGAAAUGCUUAGAUAUGACAUAGAACACCUAUUGCGAAGGCAGCUUACUACGCAUAUAUGACGCUGAGGCACGAAG
rnacentral:rRNA from 1 species